UACGUAGGGUGCGAGCGUUGUCCGGAAUUAUUGGGCGUAAAGAGCUUGUAGGCGGUCUGUCGCGUCUGCUGUGAAAGUCCGGGGCUCAACCCCGGACUUGCAGUGGGUACGGGCAGACUAGAGUGUGGUAGGGGAGACUGGAAUUCCUGGUGUAGCGGUGGAAUGCGCAGAUAUCAGGAGGAACACCGAUGGCGAAGGCAGGUCACUGGGCCGCAACUGACGCUGAGGAGCGAAAGCAUGGGGAGCGAACAGG
rnacentral:rRNA from 1 species